ACUGGGGGGAGCGCGCACUGCCGCUGCUAAUUGAGCGAGGGGUUGAUGGCAAGGGCAGGGAAGUGUGUGAAACCACUAGUUAAUGCAUGUCACAACAAAUGUUGUCAUCAAUCUGGGCUCCCCAGAGACCAAAAGAAUCCUGUAAAAAAAAAACUAUGGAGCAAACAACUGGCGGUUGUAAAUUCUUUUUGCCUCUCAAAUGAAUGUUCAACAAUUCUCUGGAGCCUACGAGGAUGUGAAUGUACCCAGAGCAGCUACAGGAAAACUGGAAAUUGGUAAAAAAUAAAGUUUUAAUGUUUAAACUUUAUAGAAACUCAUGAACUCAACGUUUGUUUUUAUUUUAUGGCAGAAGAGAUCAUAGAAUUCCCCAUCCAUUACCUCUGUGCUGUGGCUCCACAAACGACGGCUGUUCAAUCAAUCAAUAUUGGAAAUUCCCACACCUCCAGCGGG
rnacentral:lncRNA from 1 species